AGGGAACAUUUAAAAGCGGUAGCCCCCACAAGAACCACAGCUUUCUUACAGGCAAGCAUCACACGCAUUAAGGAAGGAGGCCAACCCCACGCGUCUCCUUACAUUGGCCAUGUUUUAUGACAUACCUGCCUAACCCAGACAUUAAUCUACUGAAGAUGGAUUGGCCUGGUCAUGGUCCUCUGCUAACCUUCAACGGCAUGCACAUUACCUAAAUUGAAAUCUGCACUUUUUCAUGCCAUGUUUGAUGUGACGGUCCAAGGAAUGUCGGCUGCAUUAGAAUGGGUUUUUAUGGGGACUGAAGCUCCUUCCUAUUUACCUUUCAGCAGAGCAGCUGCAGGCUCUCCUUUUCACUUGACAAUGAAGGCAUUCAUCCCCAGUGAUCACCCCAAGAGAUGCUGCCCAUACUGGCUCAGAAUUGUGUGGCCUUUCUCAGGAUCAUUAAAACUAGCCAGCGUGGAGAAGCACCUGAAAAAAUGUUCAACAUUCUUAAUCAUCAGGGAAAUGCAAAUCAAAACAACCAUGAAAUUCCACCUCAACCAGUCAGAAUGGCUAAGAUCAAAAAUUCAAGUGACAGCAGAUGCUGGGGAGGAUAUGGAGAAAGAGGAACACUCCUCCAUUGCUGGUGGGAUUGCAAGCUUGUACAACCACUCUGGAAAUCAGUCUGGUGGUUCCUCAGAAACCUGGACAUAGUACUACCGGUAGAUCCAGCAAUGCCUCUCCUGGGCAUAUACCUAGAUGUUCCAACUGGUAAGAAGGACACAUGAUCCACUAUGUUCAUAGCAGCCCUAUUUAUAAUAGCCAGAAGCUGGAAAGAACCCAGAUGCCCCUCAACAGAGGAAUGGAUACAGAAAAUGUGGUACAUUUACACAAUGGAGUACUACUCAGCUAUUAAAAACAAUGAAUUUAUGAAAUUCUUGGGCAAAUGGAUGUAUCUGAAGGAUAUCAUCCUGAGUGAGGCAACCCAAUCACAAAAGAAGUCACUUGAUAUGCACUCACUGAUAAGUGGAUAUUAGCCCAGAAACAUGGAAUACCCAAGAUACAACUUCCAAACCACAAGAAAAUCAAGAAGGAAGACCAACUUGCGGAUACUUCAUUCCUCCCUAGAAUAGGGAAUAAAAUAUCCAUGGAAGGAGUUUCAGAGACAAAGUUUGGAGCUAAGACAAAAGGAUGGACCAUCCAAAGACUGCCCCACCCAGGGGUCCAUCCCAUAAUAAGCCACCAAACGCAGACACUAUUGCAUGCACCAGCAAUAUUUUGCUGAACGGACCCUGGUAUAGCUGUCUGCUGUGAGGCUUUGCCAGUGCCUGGCAAAUACAGAAGUGGUUGCUCACAGUCAUCUAUAGGAUGGAACACAGGGCC
rnacentral:lncRNA from 1 species